AAUCUUAUCAAUACGUGCAAAGAAGUUAUUGAACAUAAUAGAAAAAAGUAGUGAGGUGGUGGUUAAGGUGUCAGUUUGCCGUUGCAUUGUUAUGUUGCUUUUGUUCCUCUGGACAUUGAAUACAGAGCAUACUCUGGCUUAUUUUAUGCUGGGAAAAACCGAUAUAUGUCGUGAGUGAUAAGGUUUUUAUUUGAUGUUUUUUAGGGAUUGCGUCCUGAACUUCCACAAAUUGGACAUCCAGAACUCCUUCAGUUGAUGCAGAGAUGUUGGGAAGCAGUUCCUGCCAAGCGGCCUGCAUUCUCUGAAAUUACAAUUGAACUUGAGAAACUUCUGAUAGAGGUUCAGGAAACUUCCGAAGCAUUAAAUGGAAUUUGACCUAUUUCUGUAUACAAGAGUCUAAAUUGGCACACCUUUUGAAGAUUUCUUAUUUCCUUCAAAUGGAGGUUAUAUUGUAAAAACUAAACGAAUAUAAAGUUCACACGAGCAUCAUACAAGCUGGAGAGAGGGACAAAAGUAUUUAUGUAUAUGUUCUUUAGCGGCGGUAGAUCUCUUCCACAAAAGACAUCAGUUUGUGAGCUUGUGUAGUUGUAAAAUUGCUUUUGAGCAACGUGAUUCCUAUCUUCCCAGGUUUAAUGAAAGCAAUUUGGUUUUGGUUUUGACGGGUA